AUUUUCCUCACCAAUGCUAAAAGCAGGUAGUAAAAUCCAGCAUUGUGCGAUGUACUAACAACAAUCCCACUGAAAUUCUUAAUUAGGCUGAAAGAGAAAAGGAAAAGGAGAUUAUUUCACAAGCCGCCAAGGAGAGGAGCUGCUGCACUCGUGCAUAUUGGUGUGCAAAUACUAGGAUGACAAUUACUCCCAGGUCCAUUUCAUUUCAGCACAGGAGAGGCAAAGAAUUUGCCUUGACGCCUCAGCUGGGUUGUUGACUUGCUUUUGCUCGCAGUUUUGGGGGUCAUGCUGAAGGUAGAGAGGACCCUUUGGCACAGGGAGCUGGAAGACAGCCUCCUGUACAUCUGCCUCUCCGGAGUAGUGAGGGGUUCAAAUAUGCACUCUUUAACAUCUGGCGUCUGGGGAGUGG
rnacentral:lncRNA from 1 species